rnacentral:rRNA from 1 species
GACGAACGCUGGCGGCGUGCCUAAUACAUGCAAGUCGAACGCAGUGGGGACGGGUGAGUAACCUGUGGGUAACCUCCCAUCAGAGGGGAGACCACUUGGACACAGGUGCUAAACCGAUACUGAUGGAUGGACCCGCGUUGCAUUAGCUAGUUGGUGAGGUAAAGGCUGACCAAGGCCACGAUGCAUAGCCGGCCUGAGAGGGUGAUCGGCCACACUGGAACUGAGACACGGCCCAGACUCCUACGGGAGGCAGCAGUAGGGAAUCUUGGGCAAUGGACGAAAGCCUGACCCAGCAACGCCGCGUGAGUGAAGAAGGUUUUCGGAUCGUAAAGCACUUUUGUUAGGGAAGCGGUACCUAACCAGAAAGCAACGGCUAACUACGUGCCAGCAGCCGCGGUAAUAC